CCUUCGUGGUGUGACUGCGUACCUUUUGUAUAAUGGGUCAGCGACUUAUAUUCAGUAGCGAGGUUAACCGUAUAGGGGAGCCGUAGAGAAAUCGAGUCUUAAUAGGGCGUUUAGUUGCUGGGUAUAGACCCGAAACCAGGCGAUCUAUCCAUGAGCAGGUUGAAGGUUGGGUAACACUAACUGGAGGACCGAACCCACUGUCGUUGAAAAGCCAGGGGAUGACUUGUGGAUAGGGGUGAAAGGCUAAUCAAGCCUGGUGAUAGCUGGUUCUCCCCGAAAGCUAUUUAGGUAGCGCCUCGGACGAAUACCAUAGGGGGUAGAGCACUGUUUCGGCUAGGGGGUCAUCCCGACUUACCAAACCGAUGCAAACUCCGAAUACCUAUGAGUACUAUCCGGGAGACAGACUGCGGGUGCUAACGUCCGUAGUCAAGAGGAAAACAAUCCAGACCGCCAGCUAAGGCCCCAAAAUCAUAGUUAAGUGGGAAACGAUGUGGGAAGGCAUAGACAGCUAGGAGGUUGGCUUAGAAGCAGCCACCCUUUAAAGAAAGCGUAAUAGCUCACUAGUCGAGUCGGCCUGCGCGGAAGAUGUAACGGGGCUAAAACUAUGUGCCGAAGCUGCGGAUGUAUACUUUGUAUACGUGGUAGGGGAGCGUUCUGUAAGCCGAUGAAGGUGUGUUGAGAAGCAUGCUGGAGGUAUCAGAAGUGCGAAUGCUGACGUGAGUAACGACAAAACGGGUGAAAAACCCGUUCGCCGAAAGACCAAGGGUUCCAGUCCAACGUUAAUCGGGGCUGGGUGAGUCGACCCCUAAGGCGAGGCCGAAAGGCGUAGUCGAUGGGAAAAUGGUUAAUAUUCCAUUACUUCUGUGUAAUGCGAUGAGAGGACGGAGAAGGCUAAAUCAGCCUGGCGUUGGUUGUCCAGGUGAAAGGAUGUAGGCAUGUAUCUUAGGCAAAUCCGGGGUACUCUAUGCUGAGAUCUGAUAGCAAGCUGUACUUGUACAGCGAAGUGGUUGAUGCCAUGCUUCCAGGAAAAGUCUCUAAGCUUCAGUUACACAGGAAUCGUACCCGAAACCGACACAGGUGGUCAGGUCGAGUAGACCAAGGCGCUUGAGAGAACUCUGCUGAAGGAACUAGGCAAAAUGGUACCGUAACUUCGGGAGAAGGUACGCUGUUGUUGGUGAUGGAACUCGCUUCCUGAGCUGACGACAGCCGCAGAAACCAGGCCGCUGCAACUGUUUAUUAAAAACAUAGCACUCUGCAAACACGAAAGUGGACGUAUAGGGUGUGAUGCCUGCCCGGUGCUGGAAGGUUAAUUGAUGGGGUUAGCGUAAGCGAAGCUCUUGAUCGAAGCCCCAGUAAACGGCGGCCGUAACUAUAACGGUCCUAAGGUAGCGAAAUUCCUUGUCGGGUAAGUUCCGACCUGCACGAAUGGCAUAAUGAUGGCGGCGCUGUCUCCAGCAGAGGCUCAGUGAAAUCGAAAUCGCUGUGAAGAUGCAGUGUACCCGCGGCUAGACGGAAAGACCCCGUGAACCUUUACUGCAGCUUGACACUGAACUUUGACCUUACUUGUGUAGGAUAGGUGGGAGGCUUUGAAGCUGGAACGCUAGUUCCAGUGGAGCCGUCCUUGAAAUACCACCCUGGUAAUGUUGAGGUUCUAACUCUGUCCCGUGAUCCGGGACGAGGACCGUGUCUGGUGGGUAGUUUGACUGGGGCGGUCUCCUCCUAAAGAGUAACGGAGGAGUACGAAGGUGCGCUCAGCGUGGUCGGAAAUCACGCGUAGAGUAUAAAGGCAAAAGCGCGCUUAACUGCGAGACCCACAAGUCGAGCAGGUACGAAAGUAGGUCUUAGUGAUCCGGUGGUUCUGUAUGGAAGGGCCAUCGCUCAACGGAUAAAAGGUACUCUGGGGAUAACAGGCUGAUACCGCCCAAGAGUUCAUAUCGACGGCGGUGUUUGGCACCUCGAUGUCGGCUCAUCUCAUCCUGGGGCUGAAGCAGGUCCCAAGGGUAUGGCUGUUCGCCAUUUAAAGAGGUACGCGAGCUGGGUUUAGAACGUCGUGAGACAGUUCGGUCCCUAUCUACCGUGGGCGCUGGAAAUUUGAGAGGAUCUGCUCCUAGUACGAGAGGACCAGAGUGGACGAACCUCUGGUGUACCGGUUGUGACGCCAGUCGCAUCGCCGGGUAGCUAUGUUCGGAAGGGAUAACCGCUGAAAGCAUCUAAGCGGGAAGCCUACCUCAAGAUAAGAUUUCCCUAGGACUUUAUGUCCUCUAAAGAGCCGUUCGAGACUAGGACGUUGAUAGGUUGGAUGUGGAAGCAUAGUGAUAUGUGAAGCUGACCAAUACUAAUUGCUCGUGAGGCUUGACUAU
rnacentral:rRNA from 2 species